rnacentral:rRNA from 1 species
AACGGAGGGUGCGAGCGUUGUUCGGAAUUACUGGGCGUAAAGCGCGUGCAGGUGGUCUUUUAAGUUUCGUGUGAAAUCCCCCGGCUUAACCGGGGAGCUGCGCGGAAAACUGAAAGGCUUGAAUACGGGAGAAGAGGGCGGAAUUCCCAGUGUAGAGGUGAAAUUCGUAGAUAUUGGGAGGAACACCGGCGGCGAAAGCGGCUCUCUAGACCGAUAUUGACACUCAUACGCGAGAGCGUGGGUAGCAAACAGG